GACCAGGUGGUGUAACGGUAGCCACGCGGCGCUCAGAACGCCGUGCCGUCAAGGCGUGGGAGUUCGACUCUCCCCCUGGUCA
rnacentral:tRNA from 1 species